UGGGGAAUUUUGGACAAUGGGGGAAACCCUGAUCCAGCCAUCCCGCGUGUGCGAUGAAGGCCUUCGGGUUGUAAAGCACUUUUGGCAGGAAAGAAACGUCAUGGGUUAAUACCCCGUGAAACUGACGGUACCUGCAGAAUAAGCACCGGCUAACUACGUGCCAGCAGCCGCGGUAAUACGUAGGGUGCAAGCGUUAAUCGGAAUUACUGGGCGUAAAGCGUGCGCAGGCGGUUCGGAAAGAAAGAUGUGAAAUCCCAGAGCUCAACUUUGGAACUGCAUUUUUAACUACCGGGCUAGAGUGUGUCAGAGGGAGAUGGAAUUCCGCGUGUAGCAGUGAAAUGCGUAGAUGUGCGGAGGAACACCGAUGGCGAAGGCAGCCUCCUGGGAUACACUGACGCUCAUGCACGAAAGCGUGGGGAGCAAACAGG
rnacentral:rRNA from 1 species